rnacentral:rRNA from 1 species
UGUAUUUAUUAGAUAAAAAACCAAUGCCCUUCGGGGCUCUUUGGUGAUUCAUGAUAACUUUACGGAUCGCAUAGCCUUGCGCUGGCGACGGUUCAUUCAAAUUUCUGCCCUAUCAACUUUCGAUGGUAAGGUAUUGGCUUACCAUGGUUUCAACGGGUAACGGGGAAUUAGGGUUCGAUUCCGGAGAGGGAGCCUGAGAAACGGCUACCACAUCCAAGGAAGGCAGCAGGCGCGCAAAUUACCCAAUCCCGACACGGGGAGGUAGUGACAAUAAAUACUGAUACAGGGCUCUUUUGGGUCUUGUAAUUGGAAUGAGUACAAUUUAAACCUCUUAACGAGGAACAAUUGGAGGGCAAGUCUGGUGCCAGCAGCCGCGGUAAUUCCAGCUCCAAUAGCGUAUAUUAAAGUUGUUGCAGUUAAAAAGCUCGUAGUUGAAACUUGGGCCUGGCUGGCGGGUCCGCCUCACCGCGUGCACUCGUCCGGCCGGGCCUUCCUUCUGAAGAACCUCAUGCCCUUCACUGGGCGUGCUGGGGAACCAGG